CCAGACUCCUACGGGAGGCAGCAGUGAGGAAUAUUGGUCAAUGGGCGGGAGCCUGAACCAGCCAAGUCGCGUGAGGGACGACGGUCCUAUGGAUUGUAAACCUCUUUUGUCGGGGAACAAAGGCGCCCACGGGUGGGCGGAUGAGUGUACCCGAAGAAAAAGCAUCGGCUAACUCCGUGCCAGCAGCCGCGGUAAUACGGAGGAUGCGAGCGUUAUCCGGAUUUAUUGGGUUUAAAGGGUGCGUAGGCGGAUUUUUAAGUCAGCGGUAAAAUGUCCGGGCUCAACCCGGGCCGGCCGUUGAAACUGGGGAUCUUGAGUGGGCGAGAAGUAUGCGGAAUGCGUGGUGUAGCGGUGAAAUGCGUAAAUAUUAGGAGGAACACCAGUGGCGAAGGCGGCUUACUGGGCUUUAACUGACGCUGAGGCUCGAAAGCGUGGGUAGCAAACAGGAUUAGAUACCCCCGUAC
rnacentral:rRNA from 1 species